AGAGUUUGAUCCUGGCUCAGGACGAACGCUGGCGGCGUGCCUAACACAUGCAAGUCGAGCGAAUGAAGUUCCUUCGGGAACGGAUUUAGCGGCGGACGGGUGAGUAACACGUGAGUAACCUGCCCCUGAAUCUGGAAUAAACCAGGGAAACUUGGUCUAAAACCGGAUGUCGGCACCACACCUCCUGGUGUUUUGCUGAAAUAUUCAUAGUUCGGGGAUGGGCUCGCGUCCCAUUAGCUUGUUGGCGGGGUAAUGGCCCACCAAGGCUACGACGGGUAGGUGGUCUGAGAGGAUGGUCACCCACACUGGGACUGAGACACUGCCCAGACUCCUACGGGAGGCUGCAGUCGAGAAUCUUCCGCAAUGGGCGCAAGCCUGACGGAGCAAUGCCGCGUGAGGGAUGAAGGCCUUCGGGUUGUAAACCUCUGUCACCUGGGACGAAAUCAAUGACGGUACCAGGAAAGGAAGCCACGGCUAACCACGUGCCAGCAGCCGCGGUAACACGUGGGUGGCGAGCGUUAUUCGGAUUUACUGGGCGUAAAGGGUCCGCAGGGGGCCUGCCACGCCCGCCGUGAAAUUUCAGGGCCCAACCCUGAACGUGCGGCGGGUACGGGCGGGCUGGAGUGCAGGAUGGGCAGACGGAAUUCCAGGUGUAGCGGUGGAAUGCGUAGAUAUCUGGAGGAACACCAGUGGCGAAGGCGGCCUCCUGGACCAUUCCUGACACUCAGACGCGAAAGCUAGGGUAGCAAACGGAAUUAGAGACUCCGGUAGUCCUAGCCCUAAACGAUGCAGACUAGGCGUCGGCGGUUUAAUCACCGUCGGUGUCCAAGCUAACGCGAUAAGUCUGCCGCCUGAGGACUACGGCCGCAAGGCUAAAACUCAAAGGAAUAGACGGGUCCCCGCACAAGCAGCGGAGCGUGUGGUUUAAUUCGAUGCUCCGCGAAGAACCUUACCUGGGUUUGACAUAACAGUGGUAGAGAAGUGAAAACGGAUCGACCCUUCGGGGAGCUGUUACAGGUGUUGCAUGCCUGUCGUCAGCUCGUGUCGUGAGAUGUUCGGUUAAGUCCGCUAACGAGCGCAACCCGCGCUGUGUGUUACAAGUGUCACACAGUACCGCCGGUAUUAAGUCGGAGGAAGGUGCGGAUGACGUCAAGUCAGCAUGACCUUUAUAUCCAGGGCUACACACACGCUACAAUGGUCAGAACAAUAGGUUGCCAAGCCGCAAGGCGGAGCCAAUCCUCCAAAUCUGGCCUCAGUUCAGAUUGCAGGCUGCAACUCGCCUGCAUGAAGUCGGAGUUGCUAGUAACCGCAGGUCAGCAUACUGCGGUGAAUAAGAGCCCGGGGAUUGCACACACCGCCCGUCAAG
rnacentral:rRNA from 1 species